AAGAAAGUGACAGAGUGGUCAUGUGGUUGGCUUGAAACCAACUUAUGGGGGCUCAAUUCCUUCCUUUCUCG
rnacentral:tRNA from 1 species